rnacentral:rRNA from 1 species
UACGAAGGGGGCUAGCGUUGCUCGGAAUCACUGGGCGUAAAGCGCACGUAGGCGGACUCUUAAGUCGUGGUGAAAUCCUGGAGCUCAACUCCAGAACUGCCUUCGAUACUGAGAGUCUCGAGUCCGAGAGAGGUGAGUGGAACUGCGAGUGUAGAGGUGAAAUUCGUAGAUAUUCGCAAGAACACCAGUGGCGAAGGCGGCUCACUGGCUCGGUACUGACGCUGAGGUGCGAAAGCGUGGGGAGCAACAGGGAUAAGA